ACUCCUACGGGAGGCAGCAGUGGGGAAUAUUGCACAAUGGGGGAAACCCUGAUGCAGCCAUGCCGCGUGUGUGAAGAAGGCCUUCGGGUUGUAAAGCACUUUCAGUAGGGAGGAAGGUAGUGUAGUUAACACCUGCAUUAUUUGUACGUUACCUACAGAAGAAGCACCGGCUAACUCCGUGCCAGCAGCCGCGGUAAUACGGAGGUGCGAGCGUUAAUCGGAAUUACUGGGCGUAAAGCGCAUGCAGGCGGCCUGUUAAGUCAGAUGUGAAAGCCCGGGGCUUAACCUCGGAAUUGCAUUUGAAACUGGCAGGCUAGAGUCUUGUAGAGGGGUUAGAAUUUCAGGUGUAGACGGUGAAAUGCGUAGAGAUCUGAAGG
rnacentral:rRNA from 1 species